rnacentral:tRNA from 4 species
GCCGACGUGGUGGAAUUGGUAGACACGCUAUCUUGAGGGGGUAGUAACGAGAGUUGUGCGAGUUCGAGUCUCGCCGUCGGCACCA